AUGUUGCACAAACUAGAAUUAGAGUUGAAGACCGGCAUCAUUCCUUUCGCUCCUCCUUCCCAGAGUCGACUGAGGAGUCCAGAUGCAGCCAGCCCUUUGCAGACAGUGACCUUUGAAGAACUUAGAACCACAUUCCUUCCUGCUCAGGGAAGAUCUUCAAAAAGGAUCCUACAGCUUCUUCAUUGCUCAGCCAUGACCUUGGCUCCUGUCUCAGUGCUUAUGAUACUUUUUUCCCUGAGGGGAACCGGAGCCCAGUCGGUGACCCAGCCUGAUGCCCACGUCACUGUCUCUGAAGAAGCUGCUUUGGAGCUGAGGUGCAACUACUCAUCUCUUGUUCAACCGUAUCUCUACUGGUACGUGCAGUACCCCAACCAAGGCCUCCAGCUUCUCCUCCAGUACUUUUCAGGGGACACUCUGGUUAAAGGCAUCAAAGGUUUCGAGGCUGAAUUUAGGAAGACUGAAACCUCCUUCCACCUGAGGAAACCCUCAGCCCAUGGCAGCGAUGCGGCCAAGUACUUCUGCGCUGUGAGAGACACAGUGCCUGGGACGGCAGGGGGUGCUGAACACAAACUUCUAGAGAAUGUGAGGCUUUCAGUGAUUCAAGGGACCCAGCUGGGGCAUUUUCAGUAA